rnacentral:rRNA from 1 species
GAUGAACGCUGGCGGCGUGCCUAAUACAUGCAAGUCGAGCGAACAGACGAGGAGCUUGCUCCUCUGACGUUAGCGGCGGACGGGUGAGUAACACGUGGAUAACCUACCUAUAAGACUGGGAUAACUUCGGGAAACCGGAGCUAAUACCGGAUAAUAUAUUGAACCGCAUGGUUCAAUAGUGAAAGACGGUUUUGCUGUCACUUAUAGAUGGAUCCGCGCCGCAUUAGCUAGUUGGUAAGGUAACGGCUUACCAAGGCAACGAUGCGUAGCCGACCUGAGAGGGUGAUCGGCCACACUGGAACUGAGACACGGUCCAGACUCCUACGGGAGGCAGCAGUAGGCAAUCUUCCGCAAUGGGCGAAAGCUUGACGGAGCAACGCCGCGUGAGUGAUGAAGGUCUUCGGAUCGUAAAACUCUGUUAUUAGGGAAUAACAAAUGUGUAAGUAACUAUGCACGUCUUGACGGUACCUAAUCAGAAAGCCACGGCUAAGUACGUG